GACGAACGCUUGCGGCGUGCCUAAGAAAUGCAAGUCGAACGGACAGGAGUAAUCCUGUUAGUGGCGAACGGUCGCGUAACACGUAGGCAACCUGCCCAAAAGUGGGGGACAACAGCUUGAAAGAGCUGCUAAUACCGCUUGUGGCCGCUUGGUGGCAUCACCGAGCGUCUAAAGCUUUAUGCGCUUUUGGAUGGGCUUGCGGCCUAUCAGGUAGUUGGUGGGGUAAUGGCCUACCAAGCCGACGACGGGUAGCUGGUCUGAGAGGACGAUCAGCCGGAUUGGGACUGAGAUACGGUCCAGACUCCUACGGGGGGCAGCAAUUAGGAAUCUUGCGCAAUGGGGGCAACCCUGACGCAGCGACGCCGCGUGCGGGAUGAAGGCAUUUGUGUCGU
rnacentral:rRNA from 1 species